GACGAACGCUGGCGGCGUGCCUAACACAUGCAAGUCGAACGAAGCUUUGAGGAGCUUGCUCUUUAAAGCUUAGUGGCGGACGGGUGAGUAACGCGUGAGCAACCUGCCUCUCAGAGGGGGAUAACGUUUUGAAAAGAACGCUAAUACCGCAUAACAUAUCGGAACCGCAUGAUUCUGAUAUCAAAGGAGCAAUCCGCUGAGAGAUGGGCUCGCGUCCGAUUAGUUAGUUGGUGAGGUAACGGCUCACCAAGACUACGAUCGGUAGCCGGACUGAGAGGUUGAUCGGCCACAUUGGGACUGAGACACGGCCCAGACUCCUACGGGAGGCAGCAGUGGGGGAUAUUGCGCAAUGGGGGAAACCCUGACGCAGCAACGCCGCGUGAAGGAAGAAGGUCUUCGGAUUGUAAACUUCUUUUGUCAGGGACGAAGAAAGUGACGGUACCUGACGAAUAAGCUCCGGCUAACUACGUGCCAGCAGCCGCGGUAAUACGUAGGGAGCGAGCGUUGUCCGGAUUUACUGGGUGUAAAGGGUGCGUAGGCGGCCGAGCAAGUCAGUUGUGAAAACUAUGGGCUUAACCCAUAACGUGCAAUUGAAACUGUCCGGCUUGAGUGAAGUAGAGGUAGGCGGAAUUCCCGGUGUAGCGGUGAAAUGCGUAGAGAUCGGGAGGAACACCAGUGGCGAAGGCGGCCUACUGGGCUUUAACUGACGCUGAGGCACGAAAGCAUGGGUAGCAAACAGGAUUAGAUACCCUGGUAGUCCAUGCCGUAAACG
rnacentral:rRNA from 1 species